rnacentral:rRNA from 1 species
CACUUGCCUAAUACAUGCAAGUCGUACGCUAGCCGCUGAAUUGAUCCUUCGGGUGAAGUGAGGCAAUGACUAGAGUGGCGAACUGGUGAGUAACACGUAAGAAACCUGCCCUUUAGUGGGGGAUAACAUUUGGAAACAGAUGCUAAUACCGCGUAACAACAAAUCACACAUGUGAUCUGUUUGAAAGGUCCUUUUGGAUCGCUAGAGGAUGGUCUUGCGGCGUAUUAGCUUGUUGGUAGGGUAGAAGCCUACCAAGGCAAUGAUGCGUAGCCGAGUUGAGAGACUGGCCGGCCACAUUGGGACUGAGACACUGCCCAAACUCCUACGGGAGGCUGCAGUAGGGAAUUUUCCGCAAUGCACGAAAGUGUGACGGAGCGACGCCGCGUGUGUGAUGAAGGCUUUCGGGUCGUAAAGCACUGUUGUAAGGGAAGAAUAACUGAAUUCAGAGAAAGUUUUCAGCUUGACGGUACCUUACCAGAAAGGGAUGGCUAAAUACGUGCCAGCAGCCGCGGUAAUACGUAUGUCCCGAGCGUUAUCCGGAUUUAUUGGGCGUAAAGCGAGCGCAGACGGUUUAUUAAGUCUGAUGUGAAAUCCCGAGGCCCAACCUCGGAACUGCAUUGGAAACUGAUAUCU